GCCCCGCGCUCCAGCGGGCCGAGCGCGUGCGGCCGCCGAGCACAUGGGCCCGCGGGCCGGGCGGACUCCGGGCGGCCGGGACCCGGAGUAUCAGCGAGGGGCCGCGAGCGAGGGUGGGCCCCGGUACGCGCCCGGAACCCCCUGAGUGGAUUUCCACGCGGAAAGGCUGUUGGCGGCCCCGGUGACCUGCGGAGACACGGCUGAAUCCACCUUCCAGCUUGAUCUUUUGACCAGAACGGAAUUAAAAAGAUGGUCCCUCGUGAUGGCCGCGCCUGUCAGCUGCGUGGAGCUUCCCUGAAGGCUUUUCUGAGCCGUGUGGAUGUACAGUGAUUCUCGGCUGCCUGAGGAAUAACGCUGGUGGAAGCCCUCUCUCCAAUGACACACACCCGCCCCGUUUCUGGAUGCUAAAGGUGGUUUUGGGAAGACCCUGGCUGAGUGCCUCGCGGAUUCCUGCAGCCCGGAUGCCCCUGGUGGACGAGGACCGAAGCUUCCUGCCUUUGCUGCCGACAGGAAUGUUCGGUUGGGGCUCUGCCAGCUCCCUUGGGGGCUCCCUAUGAAACCAUCCUGCUCCACCUGGGAUUUAGGUGCCUUUAAUCUGACAAAAAAAGAAUACGUAUCCAUUCAGUACUCCAGAGGGACUUGAAAACUGUUCUUCCCUGAACUCAAGCUGGACUAUCAUGGGAUGUGAAGAAUCGAGGCCGGGCUGAGGUUUCAGAGGAGUUCCGAGCUCCUGUGGAGAUUUGCUUCUCUCCAGCCUUGGGCUCUCUGCACUCUUGAACAUCUCAGGGCCCAGAAGAAAAAGAAGAAAGCCAGCCAGUUCUGGGAGCAGCCUGGGUGAAGAGAGAUGAGGAAACUGCUACUCAGAGACGUUAAACAACUUGGCAGAUGUUGCACAGCUAGUAAGUGACAAAGGUGAAAGUCCAAGUGUGAAGGUCAUUUCUUGUCACUGUGGUCCCCCACGAGCCCAUGGACGAGUGUGGUCCUCCUGGAAUGGGAGGGGUCUGCUCUUAAUGAACAGGUUUGGAUGGAGGAAGAAAGGAAGAGUGGGGAGCUGGGCACAAAAGGCUUAGCCCAUGGUGCCUUUUUGUGAGUUUUGCCACAUUUCAGAUGGAGUUCUCAGGAAGAGGUGAGAACACACAGAGACACAGAAUAGAUGAAGAUGGAAACAGAGAUUGGAGUGGUGCACCUAUAAAGACAAGGAAGGGAAGGAUUGCCAGGAGCCACCAGAACUUGGAAGAGGCAAGGACGGGUCCUCCACUAGACCCUUCAAAGGGAGCAGAGCCCUGCCAACACCUUGACUGCAAACUUCUGGACUGCAGACUGUGAUGUCAGCUUUCCCAGUGCAGUGACUGCCACAUGUUGUUGGGAUUUUGGUCCAAGCCACAGAAGAAGACAGUGAAGCUAAGUGAUGCAGGAAGUAAACUCAUGACCUUAGAUUCGGGAAACUGGUGCACCAACCACUGAGAAACCAGAGAUGGAGGAUUUUUGCACAAGCAUGAGCAGAGUAUAAAUCAACAUCUCUGCCUUCAACAAAAUCCGCAUCAUCGCUCAUUUGGGGAGAAGCAAACUGCGUACUGUGAGCAGACCUAUCGAGAAAUCCCUGUGGUUAAGUGACUGGUGACUCUGAUCCACAGCCAGCAAAGGCCUGAGGCCUGCCAAUAGCCAGAUGGCUUUAUCGAGAUGCAAUUGACAUAAAACAUUGUGUAAGUUUAAGGUGCACAACGCGAUGACUCACUCUGUGUAUAUUGUGAAGUGAUUACUACAAUAAGAUUACCUCAAAUCGUUACCUUUUUUGGUGUGCGUGGUGAGAACUUUCAAGAUCUACUCUCUUCCAGCUUCCAAAAAGUAGAAUCAUGAUCAAGAAGAAUAGAAGGUGGAAGAGGAACAGAGGGAGAAAAAAAGUUCAUCAUUUGAACCCUUCGUUUGUUUAGGUCUAACAUCUAUUCUCUUGGCAUCCCAUACCUGACGAGAAUUUAUGGCUAGUUGGAUGUAACAGCCAAAGCUCUCUCCCUGUGACUUAUAUGCAUCCUGAUGUAUUUCAAUUUUUGCAUACAGGAAGGUUUUCUGGUUGGAGGAGAUGCAAUUCUAUUUCGAGGUUGUGGACUCAAGGUGCCACUAAACAGAGAUUCAUGUGCUUUCAUUGACGUAAAGUGAAUCCUUCAUUUGUGGACAGCUUUGCUGCCCAAACCCAAUCUGUUACUGCAGCCAAUGGGCUUAUCUGAAGCAUCUGUGGAAAGAGAGCAGGGGAGCCAAGAGACCUGGAUCGUGAUUCUGCUAAUCCCAGGGGGUAACCUUGAGUAUGGCCAGAACACUUUUGGUCGUGGCUGGUGAUUCCUCUCCAGUGGCUUGUGACACUGCUUCAGGAAGACUUUCCCAACACCUGAAGAAUUUCUAUGUUCCUUUUCCCAGUCUGGGAUGUCUACUUACCAUAUUGCCAGCUUCUGGACCUGUUGUGUCUGGGAUGCAGGCUGAA